CACCGCUGCCCCGCCCGCCCCCGACUAGCCAAGCCCAGCGGAGGGCGGCGGCGGCGGCGGCGGCGGCGGCGGCGGCUGCUGGAGCGGCC
rnacentral:miRNA from 1 species